rnacentral:rRNA from 1 species
CCCGCGUUGGAUUAGCUAGUUGGUGGGGUAAAGGCCUACCAAGGCGACGAUCCAUAGCUGGUCUGAGAGGAUGAUCAGCCACAUUGGGACUGAGCCACGAUCAAACUCUAUACGGGAGGCAGCAGUGGGGAAUAUUGGACAAUGGGCGCAAGCCUGAUCCAGCCAUGCCGCGUGAGUGAUGAAGGCCUUAGGGUUGUAAAGCUCUUUCACCGAUGAAGAUAAUGACGGUAGUCGGAGAAGAAGCCCCGGCUAACUUCGUGCCAGCAGCCGCGGUAAUACGAAGGGGGCUAGCGUUGUUCGGAAUUACUGGGCGUAAAGCGCACGUAGGCGGAUAUUUAAGUCAGGGGUGAAAUCCCGCAGCUCAACUGCGGAACUGCCUUUGAUACUGGGUAUCUUGAGUAUGGAAGAGGU